rnacentral:rRNA from 1 species
GUCUACGGUCAUACCACCCUGAAUGCUCCCGAUCUCAUCUGAUCUUGGAAACUAAGCAGGGUUGGGCCUAGUUAGUACUUGGAUGGGAGA